ensembl:lncRNA
AGAACCUCUAAAGCACAUAUUAGAGGGAUACUAACUUGUCUAAAAAGAAGAGAGAAGAGGUGACGCAGUAAAAAGAUUAGAAACAGAUGUGGUUUGGCAAGACAUUUCACAGAUUUCACACAUUUAAAACUGCCUGCACAUUUACAUUUCAGUUGCAUGAAAUGUAUAACAAAAAUUCAGAAUAUGUUCUGUUUAGACCCGUUUUAAUGAGGGAGGUGAGAAGAAAGGCAGAAUGUGCUCUGUUUAGACCCGUUUUAAUGAGGGAGGUAGGAAGAAAGGCAGAAUGUGCUCUGUUUAGACCAGUUUUAAUGAGGGAGGUAGGAAGAAAGGCAGAAUAUGCUCUGUUUAGACCAGUUUUAAU